UUCUGCUUUCAGACUUAGGGAGGGAGGAGAUGCGGGUGUAGAUUACCAAAGGAAAAAGAUGGAGACCGGCCGGAUACCUCACUAUAUGAGGUCACUGACACGAAAGACGAUCAGCAGAAGCUGCCAUACCCGAUCAACUGUAACGACAAUGCGCCAUGCGCCAUGGACCUCCGUCCCUGGUGUCUGGAGGGGCAGACCGAGCCUGUCCAUGGCCACUGUGAACUGCAGGAGGCUUUGUGCAAGGGCGCUGUACUCGACCCCAACCAGAGCUGCAUGUUACCGUUGAGCGACUAACACCACGAGACCCGAGAGACGACGUCACCUCGGCCAGUGGUCACCAGGAUCCGACCCUGCACGUUGGCUAUGCAGGAUAUCAGACAUUUGAUUGCAGUCGUUUCGAUAUGCAGUACAAAACACAAUAAAACAGAUUUGCUUCUAACGUG